rnacentral:rRNA from 1 species
CCUACGGGAGGCAGCAGUGGGGAAUAUUGGGCAAUGGGCGCAAGCCUGACCCAGCAACGCCGCGUGAAGGAAGAAGGCUUUCGGGUUGUAAACUUCUUUUCUCAGGGACGAAGAAAGUGACGGUACCUGAGGAAUAAGCCACGGCUAACUACGUGCCAGCAGCCGCGGUAAUACGUAGGUGGCAAGCGUUAUCCGGAUUUACUGGGUGUAAAGGGCGUGUAGGCGGGAAAGCAAGUCAGAUGUGAAAACCAUGGGCUCAACCUGUGGCCUGCAUUUGAAACUGUUUUUCUUGAGUACUGGAGAGGCAGACGGAAUUCCUCGUGUAGCGGUGAAAUGCGGAGAUAUGAGGAGGAACACCAGUGGCGAAGGCGGUCUGCUGGACAGCAACUGACGCUGAGGCGCGAAAGCGUGGGGAGCAAACAGGAUUAGAUACCCCAGUAGUC